rnacentral:rRNA from 1 species
CAGUCGCCGCGGUAAUACGUAGGGCGCAAGCGUUAUCCGGAAUUAUUGGGCGUAAAGAGCUCGUAGGCGGUUUGUCGCGUCUGCCGUGAAAGUCCGGGGCUCAACCCCGGAUCUGCGGUGGGUACGGGCAGACUAGAGUGAUGUAGGGGAGACUGGAAUUCCUGGUGUAGCGGUGAAAUGCGCAGAUAUCAGGAGGAACACCAAUGGCGAAGGCAGGUCUCUGGGCAUUAACUGACGCUGAGGAGCGAAAGCAUAGGGAGCGAACAGGAUUAGAUACCCCGGUAGUCCCUGUCUCUUAUAC